rnacentral:sRNA from 1 species
AUUGUAUCAUUGUUAGAAGAUACAAUGACGAAGACUCAGACGGACUUCGGCUACACCAUCAAAGCUUUGAGAAGCAAGAAGCAGUUGGUUAGCGUUUUGGAGUCGAAUAUGACUUGAUGUCAUGUGUAUGAGUGAGUAUAAAAACUAGAACCGCAACGGAUCUUAAAUACCUAAAUA